GACGAACGCUGGCGGCGUGCUUAACACAUGCAAGUCGAACGGAAAGGCCCUGCUUGCAGGGUACUCGAGUGGCGAACGGGUGAGUAACACGUGGGUGAUCUGCCCUGCACUUCGGGAUAAGCCUGGGAAACUGGGUCUAAUACCGGAUAGGAGCCAUUUUUAGUGUGAUGGUUGGAAAGUUUUUUCGGUGUAGGAUGAGCUCGCGGCCUAUCAGCUUGUUGGUGGGGUAAUGGCCUACCAAGGCGGCGACGGGUAGCCGGCCUGAGAGGGUGGACGGCCACAUUGGGACUGAGAUACGACCCAGACUCCUACGGGAGGCAGCAAUGGGGAAUAUUGCACAAUGGGCGCAAGCCUGAUGCAGCGACGCCGCGUGGGGGAUGACGGCCUUCGGGUUGUAAACUCCUUUCGCUAGGGACGAAGCUUUUUGUGACGAUACCUAGAUAAGAAGCACCGGCUAACUACGUG
rnacentral:rRNA from 1 species